UUAAAGAAUUUCGGUUAUCGAUGGGGAUGCGUUCCAUUAGAUAGUUGGCGGGGUAACGGCCCACCAAGUCAACGAUGGAUAGGGGUUCUGAGAGGAAGGUCCCCCACAUUGGAACUGAGACACGGUCCAAACUCCUACGGGAGGCAGCAGUGAGGAAUAUUGGUCAAUGGACGAGAGUCUGAACCAGCCAAGUAGCGUGAAGGAUGACUGCCCUAUGGGUUGUAAACUUCUUUUAUACGGGAAUAAAGUGGAGUAUGCAUACUCCUUUGUAUGUACCGUAUGAAUAAGGAUCGGCUAACUCCGUGCCAGCAGCCGCGGUAAUACGGAGGAUCCGAGCGUUAUCCGGAUUUAUUGGGUUUAAAGGGAGCGUAGGCGGGUGCUUAAGUCAGUUGUGAAAGUUUGCGGCUCAACCGUAAAAUUGCAGUUGAUACUGGGCGCCUUGAGUGCAGCAUAGGUAGGCGGAAUUCGUGGUGUAGCGGUGAAAUGCUUAGAUAUCACGAAGAACUCCGAUUGCGAAGGCAGCUUACUGGACUGUAACUGACGCUGAUGCUCGAAAGUGUGGGUAUCAAACAGGAUUAGAUACCCUGGUAGUCCACACAGUAAACGAAGAAUACUCGCUGUUGGCGAUACACAGUCAGCGGC
rnacentral:rRNA from 1 species